AUUGAACGCUGGCGGCAGGCCUAACACAUGCAAGUCGAGCGGAUGAAGGGAGCUUGCUCCUGGAUUCAGCUGCGGACGGGUGAGUAAUGCCUAGGAAUCUGCCUGGUAGUGGGGGAUAACGUCCGGAAACGGGCGCUAAUACCGCAUACGUCCUGAUGGAGAAAGGGGGGGAUCUUCGGACCUCACGCUAUCAGAUGAGCCUAGGUCGGAUUAGCUAGUUGGUGGGGUAAAGGCCUACCAAGGCGACGAUCCGUAACUGGUCUGAGAGGAUGAUCAGUCACACUGGAACUGAGACACGGUCCGGACUCCUACGGGAGGCAGCAGUGGGGAAUAUUGGACAAUGGGCGAAAGCCUGAUCCAGCCAUGCCGCGUGUGUGAAGAAGGUCUUCGGAUUGUAAAGCACUUUAAGUUGGGAGGAAGGGCAGUAAGUUAAUACCUUGCUGUUUUGACGUUACCAACAGAAUAAGCACCGGCUAACUUCGUG
rnacentral:rRNA from 1 species